ACACACACUACACACUACACACACACUACACACUGCACACACACACUACACACUACACACACACUACACACACACACUACACACACUACACACUACACACACACUACACACUACACACACACUACACACUACACACACACUACACACACACUAUACACUACACACGCACAUACACAGACUAUACACUACACACACUACACACUACACACACACACUACACACACACACUACACACACACACACUACACACACACACACUACACACACACACUACACACUACACACACACACUACACACUACACACACACACACACACACACGCACACACACGCACACACACACA
rnacentral:lncRNA from 1 species